ACAAGCCAGUGAUGAUGCAAAGUUAUCCCUGUCCGAACAUCUCUGUGGACUCUUGGUAUCCUGAGGCUUGU